rnacentral:tRNA from 1 species
GCAGUUGUGGCGGAAUUGGCAUACGCGCUAGAUUCAGGUUCUAGUGGUCGCAAGACCGUGAGGGUUCAAGUCCCUUCAACUGCA